UGCACUAAGACAGCACAAUUAAAACACCUUAAAGUGCUUGCAUUCAAGGAGAUAUAGCCCAUUUGUCUAUGCUAUGAUCAUAAACAUGAUCCAUAUAAAAGAUCCAUAUGAAACUAUUUUGAAAAAUAAACUUAGAAAUAAUAAAACAGAAGAUAAGGGAGAUUUCUGGGAAAACAGUAGUUGGUUGAAUCAGAUGAUACUGCUAUGUUGCUUUUCCCCCUUCUGGGACUUAGGAGGGUGUGGUCUAGGCCUUGAAAGGCUGAUAGGGUUUCUCAUAUUCUGAUCUGAAUCUGAAGAUUUGGGGAGAAUACCCACAGGUGAAGACAACUCCUUCUUUCUAGAGAAAGCCUGAAGCAUGGGCCAAAUAUGUGCUCUAGAGAAGAGCUGCUGGUUUCUGUGUCCCCAGAACCUACGUGGGACCUGAACAGGUGAGAGGUCACCCACUCAUGUGGGAAACUUC
rnacentral:lncRNA from 1 species